UUUCAAAUCAACUGUAAGUAA
rnacentral:piRNA from 1 species